AAGAGUGAAGUAUAAAUAUUUUACAUUUCAGUUACAUUGAAAAAAUCCGGAUUUAAGGUACUCUUA
rnacentral:tRNA from 1 species